GAUGAACGCUGGCGGCGUGCCUAACACAUGCAAGUCGAGCGGCAGCGAGGGGUGCUUGCACCCUGUCGGCGAGCGGCGGACGGCUGAGUAACGCGUGGGAACGUGCCCCAAAGUGAGGAAUAACUGCCCGAAAGGGUAGCUAAUACCGCAUAUUAUCUUCGGAUCAAAGGAUUUAUCCGCUUUGGGAGCGGCUCGCGUCGGAUUAGGUAGUUGGUGAGGUAAUGGCUCACCAAGCCGACGAUCCGUAGCUGGUCUGAGAGGAUGACCAGCCAGACUGGAACUGAGACACGGUCCAGACUCCUACGGGAGGAAGCAGUGAGGAAUCUUCCACAAUGGGCGAAAGCCUGAUGGAGCAACGCCGCGUGCAGGACGAAGGCCUUCGGGUUGUAAACUGCUUUUAUAAGUGAGGAAUAUGACGGUAACUGAUGAAUAAGGAUCGGCUAACUACGUG
rnacentral:rRNA from 1 species